rnacentral:rRNA from 1 species
UACGGGGGGGGCAAGCGUUGUUCGGAAUUACUGGGCGUAAAGGGCUCGUAGGCGGCCAACUAAGUCAUACGUGAAAUCCCUCGGCUUAACCGGGGAACUGCGUCUGAUACUGGAUGGCUUGAGUUCGGGAGAGGGAUGCGGAAUUCCAGGUGUAGCGGUGAAAUGCGUAGAGAUCCGGAGGAACACCAGUGGCGAAGGCGACACGCUGGGCCGUACCUGACACUGAUGCGCGACAGCAUGGGGAGCAAACAGG